CAGCAACACGCGGCAGUCGCCAGCAGCUAUAAACUGCCGUGCACAGUCGCGGCCGUGUGUCAUCGCGCUGGUUUUCCUGCUGGGGAAACGGAGCAGGAAUCAACCGAGCAGAGGUCACCGGGGUUAGCUCCAGUAAAUGGUAUUUUAAUCGAUACCGUGUGGCGGCUGAGUGCCUUUCUUACUGGGAUCGUAUCGAACACGAGCUGUGGUGCAUUGCAGUUGCAUGGAGAGGGAGCAGAGAGCAGGCGCCGGCUGAAUGCUGAUGCCAUUUUUAGUUAUGCCAGGACAUGUUGUUACAAGACGUCGUGCAUGGCCUCGAUCGGAGUCUGCUCAAGGACCACGUACCGGCUCUUCUCCAAGGCAAGCGAUUUUAGAAAUACCAGCUGUGGUCACAGAAGAUGUGGUGCUCCUUGCUCCAUGGCUUAGACCACACUCUUCCCUGGGAAAUCCAGCAGAAGGAGGAGAAAUAUCCUACACGUUUCCCAGAGACGAGGUAUUUCUCAGGCAAAAGUUUACACUCGUGCACAGAGAGUGCCAAAUUUUUUGCGCUGUACCUGCACAGAUGGCAGGGCAGAGCGUGCUCUGGAGAGCAGAUGCGUGUGGGAGCGUGAGCUGUGGUUUGGGAGUUCGGGCUCCUCAAAUUAAAGCUGUAUUUCCACAAGACAGUGGCAGCAUGGGCUCCCUCCGUUUAAGCCAUCCUUCACAUUUGCCCUACCCUGGCAUCAACCCCUACUUGUGAAACGAAAUGGAGGCCUUCAGCACCCUUCUGCUGCAGUUUGCCAAGGGGAAACGUCAGCUCAUUUCGUCUAUCAAAUAAGCACACGUCCAGGAGUGAUAGCUUCUUUCUCUGCUGAACGGGACUGAUUAGAAAGCAGAGGGCUGUGAAGGCUUUUGCAUUAUUUUAUAUUAUUAUCUGGCAAAGAAAACAAUCGCCGCUUCCCGACAGCUUUAAGCUUCCCUUCCGUGAGCAACGGAAGGUCUCGCGUUAACGCGCCUGCAGUAAAGGCAGGUGCAGUCGAACGAAACGUGGGCGGAUGGCUGUGCGCCUGCUCAGGACGCCUGGCUGAGGAACGGGCAGCGUUUCUUGGCUAGCAGAGCGGGAAGCAGGAUGGCCAGUGCUGCAUUUCCUACUCGAAGCAGUUCCCGUUCGGUUCCAGUUAGUCCCUAGUGGAGCCCCACUGGCUUCUGCUGAACUCCGACACAGCGGGUCUGGCUCAUCGCAUGCAGCACAAGCCGCUUAAUUAGAGCAGCAGCUCAAUUUAUUUGUUUUGUAUCGUCUUUAUUAGCCAUCACUUAAACUCGUAAUUAAGGGCAGAACAGGCACUGGGAAAAUGGCAGCUGGGCUGGGCUGGCACCGCCCCGAAGCAUCUGACGCGUGUGUCUGUCGCUCAGAGCUGGCGGUGUUCGUGCCUUCCUGGAGGCAGCUUCUUCCCUUAAAAUAAAUACCCGACUGCUAACGACCUUUGGAAGAGAGCACCAAAAUCCCUGGGGAGACUCUGGCGGGCAGGACAAAGGCAGAGGGAUUGAGACCGGCGGCUCACGUGGUCGCUGGAAACACCUGGACCUUCUCCCCAGGAGUGAGCGCUGCUCGGAGAUGUGAAGCUACAUCACUGUGUCGCUGUGGCUGCUACUGCCAUUUGGUUAUCACCUUGUGCUCGAUGGAGAGAUUUCUAUGCAGGUGUUUCUUCUGAAAUGCCUGAGAUAUUUUUAUGGUCCAGAGUUCGUAGUCUGCUUCUGUAUCAUUCCAGUGUCCUAAAUCUCCUCCUUGUAACCCUAAAUCCUAGCUACGCUCUUUGGACUGAAGGCUGGUGUGACUGGUACUAGCACAAGGCAAGUCUUGCUCUAGGACCCGUUUACCUCUGUCCCACCCAACUCUGGGAUCCCUACAUUUUCUUUUAAAUACAGCUUGCAGCAGAGCAGGGUGGGCACAUAGCAUUAGUGCUUGCUAUGUUUUUGGUGGCAGUAGAGUCCGCGACCGCUCGGUUGAUGUAUCAUUCACGUCAUCGUAGCACCUGCUCCCGGAGCGGGACCCACCGUGCCAGGUGCUCCGCGGAAGCUCCUGCUCCAAGGAGGAGGGCGGUGCCGGCCCGGGACGUAUCCGCAGCUCCGCACCUUUGCAGCGGAGGAACUGCAGGUGCCCCGGCGGGGCACGAAGGCCUGGUGAGCCGGCAGCUAGUCACAGCUUCCCUGUUGUCCACGAGGAAAUUCCCAAAACUGGCAGCCAUUCCCCUAAAGGCACAAGCAGCUACGUUUCGUACUGCAGGACAGUGUGCCUAAACUGUCUGCGUCUGGUGACAGGAGGGGGGAGAAAGAUGGACGUGCACUGGGUUGUCCAAGUGAGAUGUUAUUAAGUUGCUGUCUUAUGCCCUAA